AUGAGUUUUCCCAUUCCUUCCCACCAAGAGCAGUCAAGCACCAUGCUCAGUUUUCAGAUGGAUCCAGCUGGCCGUGGUCUGCAGCCGCACGUUAAGAAACCAAAUUCUGAAAGUUGAACCAAAUCGAAAAGCAAAACUUGAAUUUGCUGUCGGCCAGAUACUGUGACAAAUGCAUGGAAAGGAAGAGAGGUGUAGGUGCUGUGUCCGGUGUGGAAAGCCAUCGAGAGACUUUAAAGUGCAGGGCCUUGAACAUCUUAAACGGAUCUUCCCAGUUUUCUCGUGGCCAAGCUUGACUUCUCUUUGUCACCCUUCGCUCCAACCAGAGGACAGUGAGCUACCAAAUCUCACCACUGAGUCAUAUCACACCGGAAGGAGCGACACAGAGGAGGCCAGGUGCAAGCUUGAGGCUCACUGACUCCAACGCCCCUGCUCCUAACCAUGGCUUUCCACAGACAACUAACAGAAAGAAAGGAAAAUGACAGCCGUGUGCAAUGGAGAAGAGCGGAUGUGCAGCCUGGGAACAGACCAUCAAUCCCACCGAGUCUCGUUCCCCUCAUCCGUGAUCACAGCUUGGGUAAACUCCCCAGUGUUCAGUUCUAAAGUUAGGGGCCUAGAAUAUAAACAUUCCCUAAUUCAUCAGAUAAGCCACUGUAUGCCCAAAGUACAGCUGCAUCUAACACCACCAGACCCUAUGGAGACAGCCAGCUAGUGACCCAAACAAAUCAUGUCACUAUCCUCUCCUGCUGUA
rnacentral:lncRNA from 1 species